GUAGGUGGCAAGCGUUGUCCGGAAUUAUUGGGCGUAAAGCGCGCGCAGGCGGUUCUUUAAGUCUGAUGUGAAAGCCCACGGCUCAACCGUGGAGGGUCAUUGGAAACUGGAGAACUUGAGUACAGAAGAGGAAAGCGGAAUUCCACGUGUAGCGGUGAAAUGCGUAGAGAUGUGGAGGAACACCAGUGGCGAAGGCGGCUUUCUGGUCUGUAACUGACGCUGAGGCGCGAAAGCGUGGGGAGCAAACAGGAUUAGAUACCCUGGUAGUCCACGCCGUAAACGAUGAGUGCUAAGUGUUAGGGGGGUUUCCGCCCCCCUUAGUGCUGCAGCUAACGCAUUAAGCACUCCGCCUGGGAUACGGCCGCAAGGCUG
rnacentral:rRNA from 1 species